AAAAUGAAGGUUAUGAUGGAGAUUCGAGAUAUUUAAAUACACAUUUUACUGGUUAAUCAUUACAGUUAAAACCAGAACACAAACGGAGUCACAACUGCAGUGAGAAGAGCUUCUGUGUUCGUUGUUUAUAUUCAGUGUGGAGCUGUAAUGAACCAGCAAACACAAGUGGUGUCACAACGUACGUGUGUUUGAAGGGAAACACCUGACAGAGAAAAGUACAGCGAACUUUCCUGCAGAGCAGACUGACUACUGCAACGGCACAUUUUUUCACUUCCUGUUAUAAACCAAACAGGAGCGAAGGUCCCAUCUACACAGCACAGAUGCUGCUGAUGAAAAAGCCUGAGAGGGAGGAAGAGCUCUGCGUCAGUGUGAUCUGGGUUUGAUUGUGUUUUAACUCUGGAUGAGAACCACCAGUGAGAUCUUACACAGUCUGGACAGGCAGAGAGUUUCACAGUAUGUUUUUUGUGUCGGACCUGCUGAAGAACAGAUCUGUGAGAAGAUCAGCACCUGAUGAUGGAGGAAAACGGGGGACAGUCUCAGCAGAGGAGAGGAAGAAUGAGAGAGGAGAGAAAGAAGAUGAAUGAACAGACUUGAACAGAGUCUAAUGAAGGUGUGAGAGAAGAGCUGAGAGUCCACAGAGAGAGCCGAGCAGACAGAGAGAAAGAAACUGAUGAGUGUGAUGUGAGGAGAGAGAGAGAGAGCAGUGAAAAAAGGAGAAGCUCCAGUCUGGAUCGACUUUAUCGUUUCUGAGCAGAGAGAACAGCACCAUCUGCACCGUCACCUUGAAUGUCCAACAAGACACUCAGCUCCACCACAGGAAAAGAGAACUGUGUUAGCAGGCAGGUCCCUUUUAGCCCUACAGUUCCUUCUCAUGGUGGGCACUAACACUGACACCAACCGCCUACACUCACAGUCACACAACAGCAACAAUGAACAUAAAUGUUUCUCCUACCGGGAGAACACGGCGCCUCCCGAGAGCCUU